UCUUGAAGCUAGGAGAGCAAGAGAGCCAUCAGCUGCCAGCCCGCUUUAUACUGUUUUCUAAGUCAAUAUGCAGCAGGAUAUGCAAGGAUCCUUACUGUUAGUGGCCCUAUUUCUAUUUGAGUUUACCACCAUUGUUAUGGAGGAAAGUCUGCUGGGUUUGGAGUCAGGAGACUUUGACAUUGGAAGUCUAACCCUGGCACUCUGGCAUAUACUUGUGGGGCUUUAGGUCUGCACAUCAAGACUAUAUUUACCUCAUAGAGUCAGGGACAACACCAUCUUUUUAUUUGAUUUUGGACUGUUCUGGUAUAAUUCAUUUAUGAAUACGUAAGGUUCUAGCACCAUCUUUUCAUCUGGCGGCUGAAUAAUGAUUUGCUCAGUCAUUCUCUGAUAGUGUGAUCAUAUCAGUUAUUUGUUGAUUAUUUUGUCAAUUUGGGUAUCCAUUUUUUGUAAGUAGUUAUCUCUAUAUUCUCUGUUUUGUUGCCACCUGUGUAGUAAUAUUCUCAAUCUUCUUUAUAUCAUCCUCAUUCCUUGUGAUUUCUCUCUUUCUCUUUUCCAAUUUUGAAAUUGGGAUUAUUUUUGAUUACGUGCCAGUGGUUUAUGUAUUUUAUUUAUCUUUUUUUUAAACAGCCAACUCUUUUUUUGUUAAUUUAGUGAUAUUUUUAUUUGAAAAAUGUUUUGGUUCAUUUCUCGUUUAAUUCUAGCAAUUUUCUUUUUUGGUCUCAUUUUGGAGGUAUUGAGCUGUUUAUUUUUAAUUUUUAAAAAAUAUUAAGUCAACUCAAACAUUUCCUAUUCCCCCUCCCCCCAUAUAAAUUGGCCCCUGAAUAUUGCUUUAGCCUUGUCCAAUAAAGUUGAUAUUAUAUAAUUGUGGUUUCCUGUAAUUAAUUUAAUUUACACAUGCAUUAUUGAGACAUGUUUUAUUUUCCAUAAAGGCCUUCAUUUAUUAAGUAUAUUUCUCCUUUUGCUAACUUUUUAUUAUAUAGUGAUUUUAAAACAUGUUUAAGCUUAUUUAUUUGUUUUGUCCAUUUUUGUGAAUGAUUUCUGUGUAUUUGGGAAAAAAAUAUUCUCUUCCUUUUCCCCAUUGAGUUCUAUCAAAUCUACCUUUUUUAGCACUCUGUUCACAUCUGUAAUUGCUUUCUUAUUAAUCUUUUUUAUUUGAUUUGUCAUUAUGUUAGCAGGAUGUCAGUUUCCCACUGUUUAUUGUAUUAUAUGCAUUUUUUUUUGUAACUCAAUACAUUUUCAUUUAUAAAGUACCUUGCUGUGUCAUUAGGUGUAUAUAUAUGCUUAAUAUUGAUAUCCUCUUCAUUGUCAAUGACAUUUUUUGAUUUUUCUUUAUUUUUCAAUAUUUUUAUUUCUAUUAAGCUCAAAUAUUUGAAUAAAAAAUACAAAAAGUGAAAAGAAACUAAGCAAAAAGCAAUUGUGAAUGAUUAUAAUGUAACUGCAGAAAGAGACUGUGUGUAAACUUUUUCUGAGAUCUUAACAAAGAUUGUUUAUGCAUUUGACAUAGUUCCAUUGCGGUUGAUAUUGUUUUUCUGUCUUUUUAUGAGAGGGCAGCAUGGCAAAGUGAAUAGGGAGCCAGUCUUUGAUGCAGGAAGACCUGGGUUCAAGGCCUGUCUCCAACUGGUCAGGUGACUGUAGGCAACUGAUGUGACUUUAGUUCUCUUGGCAGUUGUCUAAAGCUCCAAUAGGGUGGGCUUUCCGCACCACAGAGUUCUCUAUGACAGUGAAAUGCUAGGACUCAUAGCCAUCCUGGCCUUGUUUUUCCACAACUGGAAGCAAAGAGUGUGUUCUCUUAUGACUUUUCUUCACUCGGGUGUCACUGUACUUCCUAAGUUUUCCUUGAGGUCAAGAAUGUUUUGCUCGUUGUGUUCCCAAGAUAAAGUGUGAUACUUAGAAAUCCUGACAUGUUUAGCUUUUGAAUAAUUUCUGGAAUUGAAUUUUUUAAAUUCUUCAUGUUUACCAUUUUAUUAUGCUUUGAUAUUUAAUUGCCUUCAUGUAACAUUUUUUCAUUCAUUCAGGAAACAUUUUUUAAGCAUUUGCCAGGCACUGUGCUAAGUGCUAGGGAUACAAAAGAGGCAAAAGACAGCCCCUUCCCUCAGAGAGGAGCUCACAAUCUAAUGGGAGAGACAACGUGCUGACAAAUACAUACAAAGGAAGCUCUAUAUGGGAUAAAUAGGAAUUGAUCAACAAAGGAGAGACUGGAAUGAAGAGGGGUUGAGAAAGGCUUCCUAUAGAAAGUGGAUUUUAAUUGGGACUUAAAGGAAGCCAGGGAGGAGAGUAAGGGGAGUGGAGGAGAGAGAAUGUUCCAGGCAUGUGGGACAGCCAGGGGGAAUGCCUGGAGCUGACAGAUGGAGUGCCUUGUUCGUGGAACAGCCAGGAGGCCAGAGUCACUGGAUCAAAGAAUACCUGUCGGGGAGUAAGGUGUAAGAAGACUGGAAAGGUAGGAGGGG
ensembl:lncRNA